rnacentral:snRNA from 1 species
AUACUUACUUGGCAGGGGAGACACCAUGAUCAGGAAGGUGGUUUUCCCAGGGCGAGGCUCAUCCAUUGCACUGCGGGUGUGCUGACCUCUGCGAUCUCCCCAAAUGCAGGAAACUCGACUGCGUAAUUUAUGGUAGUAGGGGACUGUGUUCACAUUCUCCCCUG